rnacentral:rRNA from 1 species
UGGGGAAUAUUGCACAAUGGGCGCAAGCCUGAUGCAGCCAUGCCGCGUGUGUGAUGAAGGGUUUCGGCUCGUAAACACUGUUGUAAGAGAAGAAUGACAUUGAGAGUAACUGUUCAAUGUGUGACGGUAUCUUACCAGAAAGGAACGGCUAAAUACGUGCCAG